rnacentral:rRNA from 1 species
GACGAACGCUGGCGGCGUGCUUAACACAUGCCAGUCGAACGGAAAGGCCUGCUUUCCCUUGUGGAUUGCGGGUACUCGAGUGGCGAACGGGUGAGUAACACGUGAGUGAUCUGCCCCCAACUUGGGUAUAAGCCUGGGAAACUGGGUCUAAUUCCCGAUAGGACUGCAGGGUGGUGCCUGUGGUGGAAAACGAUUUUCUAGUGGUUGGGGAUGAGCUCGCGGCCUAUCAGCUUGUUGGUGGGGUAAUGGCCUACCAAGGCGGCGACGGGUAGCCGGCCUGGGAGGGUGGACGGCCACAUUGGGACUGAGAUACGGCCCAGACUCCUACGGGAGGCAGCAGUGGGGAAGAUUGCACAAUGGGCGGAAGCCUGAUGCAGCGACGCCGCGUGGGGGAUGACGGCCUUCGGGUUGUAAACUCCUUUCGGCCGCGAGGAAGCCACCUGGUUGGAAGGGUGGUGACGGUAGUGGUAGAAGAAGCACCGGCUAACUACGUG